AACGAACGCUGGCGGCAUGCCUAACACAUGCAAGUCGAACGAGACCUUCGGGUCUAGUGGCGCACGGGUGCGUAACGCGUGGGAACCUGCCCUUAGGUUCGGAAUAACUCCCCGAAAGGGGUGCUAAUACCGGAUAAUGUCUUCGGACCAAAGAUUUAUCGCCUUUGGAUGGGCCCGCGUUGGAUUAGCUAGUUGGUAGGGUAAAAGCCUACCAAGGCGACGAUCCAUAGCUGGUCUGAGAGGAUGAUCUGCCACACUGGGACUGAGACACGGCCCAGACUCCUACGGGAGGCAGCAGUGGGGAAUAUUGGACAAUGGGCGAAAGCCUGAUCCAGCAAUGCCGCGUUAGUGAUGAAGGCCUUAGGGUUGUAAAGCUCUUUUACCCGGGAUGAUAAUGACAGUACCGGGAGAAUAAGCUCCGGCUAACUCCGUG
rnacentral:rRNA from 1 species